ACAGAAGGCCCUGACCCAAUGCCCUUUGAAGUCAAUGGGAGUCCUUCCAUUGACAUCAGUGGGCUUUGGAUCAGGUUCAAAACAU
rnacentral:pre_miRNA from 1 species